rnacentral:rRNA from 1 species
CACCGCGGUUAUACGAAAGGCCCAAGUUGAAAAACAUUCGGCGUAAAGGGUGGCUAAGGACCUAUUUUAAACUAGAGCUGAAUUUCUUCAAAGCUGUUAUACGCUCAUGAAAACUAGAAAAUCAACCACGAAAGUGGCUCUAAUCCCCCCCUGACACCACGAAAGCUAUGACA